CGUACCUUUUGUAUAAUGGGUCAGCGACUUAUAUUCUGUAGCAAGGUUAACCGUAUAGGGGAGCCGAAGGGAAACCGAGUCUUAACUGGGCGUUAAGUUGCAGGGUAUAGACCCGAAACCCGGUGAUCUAGCCAUGGGCAGGUUGAAGGUUGGGUAACACUAACUGGAGGACCGAACCGACUAAUGUUGAAAAAUUAGCGGAUGACCUGUGGCUGGGGGUGAAAGGCCAAUCAAACCGGGAGAUAGCUGGUUCUCCCCGAAAGCUAUUUAGGUAGCGCCUCGUGAACUCAUCUUCGGGGGUAGAGCACUGUUUCGGCUAGGGGGCCAUCCCGGCUUACCAACCCGAUGCAAACUACGAAUACCGAAGAAUGUUAUCACGGGAGACACACGGCGGGUGCUAACGUCCGUCGUGAAGAGGGAAACAACCCAGACCGCCAGCUAAGGUCCCAAAGUCAUGGUUAAGUGGGAAACGAUGUGGGAAGGCACAGACAGCCAGGAUGUUGGCUUAGAAGCAGCCAUCAUUUAAAGAAAGCGUAAUAGCUCACUGGUCGAGUCGGCCUGCGCGGAAGAUGUAACGGGGCUAAACCAUGCACCGAAGCUGCGGCAGCGACACUAUGUGUUGUUGGGUAGGGGAGCGUUCUGUAAGCCGUUGAAGGUGUGCUGUGAGGCAUGCUGGAGGUAUCAGAAGUGCGAAUGCUGACAUAAGUAACGAUAAAGCGGGUGAAAAGCCCGCUCGCCGGAAGACCAAGGGUUCCUGUCCAACGUUAAUCGGGGCAGGGUGAGUCGACCCCUAAGGCGAGGCCGAAAGGCGUAGUCGAUGGGAAACAGGUUAAUAUUCCUGUACUUGGUGUUACUGCGAAGGGGGGACGGAGAAGGCUAUGUCAGCCGGGCGACGGUUGUCCCGGUUUAAGCAUGUAGGCGGAGGU
rnacentral:rRNA from 1 species